CGUUAAAACACCGGUUACCGUACGAUCAACGAAGUUAAGUAUCACGGAGACUGGUCAGUACCUAGAUGGGUGACAAUUUGGGAAUACCAGGUACUGGAA